rnacentral:rRNA from 1 species
UAAUCACUUGUUCUUUAAAUGCGGACUAGUAUGAAUGGCACUACGAGGGUUAUACUGUCUCCUUUUUCUAAUCAGUGAAACUAAUUUUCCCGUGAAGAAGCGGGGAUAUAACUAUAAGACGAGAAGACCCUAUGGAGCUUUAAACAACCCAGCAAUUACUUCUAAAAUUGUAAAUUUCAGAAUAUUCAUUUCUUAAGUAAUAUGUCUGCAAGUUUUUGGUUGGGGUGACCAUGGAGAAUAACAUAACCUCCAUAUUGAAUGAAUUCCCUUCUAAGCUGAAAAUUACCAAUUGAAGCAUCAACAUACUGACAUCUAUUGACCCAAUAUAUUUGAUCAACGAACCAAGUUACCCUAGGGAUAACAGCGCAAUCCACUUCAAGAGCCCCUAUCGACAAGUGGGUUUACGACCUCGAUGU